AGCUAGUUAAUAAUUUUACAAAUACAUAAACCCACCAAAGUGGUGAAUAUCUGAUAUGUUUACAAAUAAAUAAACCCACCAGAGUGGUGAGUAGCUGAUAUGUUUACAAAUAAAUAAACCCACCAGAGUGGUGAGUAGUUGAUAUGUUUACAACAAAACGGCUUGGGAUUUGGUCAGCUAACGCUAGCUAACCCACGGGCUGCUCUGAACACUGAUUUCAGACCCGGUGGUUGUUUUUAAGUUUUUUCCUCUGAGCUCUCUGAGGCCUCUGCCUCAAAAACUGCAUCUUGAUCUUUUUCAUCAGACAACUCAAUAUCUGAGUUUUCAUGAACAAUUCGCAGUAACAUUCUCUCUACCUCUGACAGUGAAUACCUUCCUUCGUAAUUGAAAAUACAGAGAAAAAAAGAUUCUUCCAGUGAUCCCUACAGUACUGACUAGAUUCUCUUCAGCCAUGCCAUCCUAUAGCAUGUGUCCCUGGGUCCUGCUGUUAUCUGUGCUUAAGGUCAUAACCGUGCCUGUAUUGACCUAUUCAGUAAAGGUGAAUC